CCCGGGCCGCCGUGCGUGUCCCCCGGCAGCCGGCCGUCCUCCCGGAUCGGGGCUGGAGCGCAUCCGGAGCCGCCGGUGGCGGUGCCGCGCCGCCGGCUUUAAGGAGUUCACCGGGGCUCUCCGCUGCCGUGGAAAUGUCUGUGCAUCCUCCUCCGCCUCCCAGCCCGGUGCCUCACCAGGUAGAGCGGCCGCAGGCAGCAGCCCUCCGCUCCGCUGGCAGCAGUCACCUUCUGGUUGUGUUUGUUUGUUUCCUCAGAAACUUUUCGUCCUUGCGCGAUUUGGGUCCCCGCAGGGGUCAGUCAUCCAUCCAGACCUAAAAGACACGUUAAAUCUAACAGGACCGUGAACAUUAGCACAGGAACAGGAGGUGCAAGUGCUGUGUCUAAUCAAAGGCGAGAUUCGGCCGCUUGCACGUACAGGUAGUUACAGUGCACGGCACCGCACGCACCAUCCUUCCCGUCACAUUCCCUGCAGUGCAAGUUCAGAGAUGUAGGAGACUCAACAAGUGAUGGAGAGGUGUUCAGAGUGGUGAGGAUUUCACUGUAAAGCCAGUACUGGUUUAGAGUUGUGUGACAAAUAAUAACAGUACAUAAAAGCAAAGUAUCUGGCAAUACUCUGUCCUGAAAGCUUGAUGGGGAAAAAAAUAAAAGUAAACCAACACUGCUUCCGAGGAGUGCCUAAUGAGUACAGUGGAAACCAGUUUACCUUUAAGGAAAUGGUUAUUUACACUAUAUCUAGAGCUACUAAAACUAGGCCUUUUAAAGCUGUUAUUGGUGAAGUGAAACCUGGAGUCUCUGACUGUUUUUUAAAGAAAUCAAGUGAUAGCCUCUAGGCAAAAGGCUUGUGCCAGCAUACAUGGUAUCCUAUCCUCCUGAUUGAAAAGGGAUUCACGUGGGAAAAAAGGCUAUAUUCCAGGUAUGUGGCAGUAAGUCCUCAAUUGACUCUUUCUACAGUCUUGAAUGUAAGAUAUCAUGAUUAACUUCAUUUGCACCAUUUUUUCCAAUACUGGAUAAAGGCAUCUAAGUCAGGAAUACACAAGUCCUGUCGCAAAGACAUGAGCUGUGAUUCAUACCAGGAAUAAACCUCUUCCCUUCUGGACUCCCAAGUAAAACACCUGCAGGUCUGGUGAACUGGAACUUGGAAAUGCCACAACUGCAAAACCGAAAGGACUAUUCAUAUUUCCUGUACUCUCUGGAAAUUGGGAUACUAAUACCCACAGUGAUCAUAAAUGCACUAAGGGGCAAGAAGACUUCCUCUAGCUUCUGUGUAACCCUCACACACCUCUCUGAUCCUUCACAGUGAUGUUAAAUACAAUGAACAAUAGUAGAAAUAAAAACAAUAGUUUUGUGAAGGUG